rnacentral:rRNA from 1 species
CCUACGGGGGGCUGCAGUGAGGAAUAUUGGUCAAUGGGCUUACGCCUGAACCAGCCAAGUCGCGUGAGGGAAGACUGCCCUAUGGGUUGUAAACCUCUUUUGUCAGGGAGCAACGCCGGCUACGUGUAGCCGGACUGAGAGUACCUGAAGAAAAAGCAUCGGCUAACUCCGUGCCAGCAGCCGCGGUAAUACGGAGGAUGCGAGCGUUAUCCGGAUUUAUUGGGUUUAAAGGGAGCGUAGGCCGGUCUUUAAGCGUGCCGUGAAAUUUUGUGGCUCAACCAUGAGAGUGCGGCGCGAACUGGAGACCUUGAGUGCGCGGAAGGCAGGCGGAAUUCGUGGUGUAGCGGUGAAAUGCUUAGAUAUCACGAAGAACCCCGAUUGCGAAGGCAGCCUGCCGCAGCGUUACUGACGCUGAAGCUCGAAAGCGCGGGUAUCGAACAGGAUUAGAUACCCGGGUAGUC